rnacentral:lncRNA from 1 species
UCUUAAUUACGAUUUAGACGGUGAGUGUGUCUUCAAGGGCUCAAAGUGUCCAAGAAGCCUCACCUAGGGCCGACUAGUAUAGAAUUCUUAAUUAGCAAUUGUUAAUUGUUUGUAAUUGCCUUUUCUUUUGCUUAAUUAGUAACGCUUUGUAUGUGUGGUUGUUUUAAGCUUUGUUAAAACCGUCUAGCUUUGUUAAUUAGUUAGCAUACAUUGUUUUCUUGCAUUGAAAAAAAAAAUUGAUUUCUCAACUUAAUUGUGUUCUAAGUAGUUUACUAAGAGAAAGCUUUGUGUGAAGACAUUGGGGGAUAGUUUUUGGCUAAGG